rnacentral:misc_RNA from 1 species
CAAGAGAGUUGUCCAUCGUCUUAG